GAACAAGGAAAUCCCGAUGGUGAAAAUCCUUUGGAACCACCACAAUAUGGAGGAAUGCACUUGGGAGACACGGGAGUCUAUGCUCCAGCAAUAUCCCCAUCUCUUUUAAGGUUAGUCUCUAUGUGUUUUAUAUGUAUGUUAUGUUGUUUUGCUAUGCAUGUAUUAGUUGAGGAACAUUCGGGGACGAAUGUUCUUAAGGGGGGGAGAAUGUAAUACCCGGCUAGACUCCGGUAUCGGAAUUCCUACCGUCCGGUGGAAU
rnacentral:lncRNA from 1 species